UUAUAAUGUUCCAGGUAUCCAGUCUAUCAGACAGUAUUAUAAUGUUCCAGGUAUCCAGUCUAUCAGACAGUAUUAUAAUGUUCCAGGUAUCCAGUCUAUCAGACAGUAUUAUAUUAUAAUGUUCCAGGUAUCCAGUCUAUCAGGCAGUAUUAUAUUAUAAUGUUCCAGGUAUCCAGUCUAUCAGACAGUAUUAUAAUGUUCCAGGUAUCCAGUCUAUCAGACAGUAUUAUGAUGUUCCAGGUAUCCAGUCUAUCAGACAGUAUUAUAUUAUAAUGUUCCAGGUAUCCAGUCUAUCAGACAGUAUUAUGAUGUUCCAGGUAUCCAGUCUA